CUUUGUCUAUGAGCAAGUGCGCACUGGCAUAAAAUGCACUAGGUGGCUUUUUGGAUCUUCUCUCCCCCCGUAUUGUCCGCCUCAACCUGUAUUGUCCGUGGUAAUAAAGCGUUCAUGCUGGUAUCCCGUAAUACUCCAAUAGCUGUUUCUUUUUAUGGAAAUCCCUAAUAGGACCCAAGUUUUCAGUUAAUAAUUACAAGCUGCAGGAAGAGAACCUACACCUGUCCCCAAACCGGAUUCCCA